rnacentral:rRNA from 1 species
GUCCCAGUUCGGAUUGCAGGCUGCAACCCGCCUGCAUGAAGUUGGAAUCGCUAGUAAUCGCGGAUCAGCAUGCCGCGGUGAAUACGUUCCCGGGCCUUGUACACACCGCCCGUCACACCAUGAGAGUCGGGAACACCCGAAGUCCGUAGCCUAACCGCAAGGGGGGCGCGGCCGAAGGUGGGUUCGAUAAUUGGGGUGAAGUCGUAACAAGGUAGC